rnacentral:rRNA from 1 species
CAAUAAGCGGAGGAAAAGAAACCAACAGGGAUUGCCUCAGUAACGGCGAGUGAAGCGGCAACAGCUCAAAUUUGAAAUCUGGGUCUUUCAGGCUCCGAGUUGUAAUUUGUAGAAGAUGCUUCGGAUGUGGCUCCGGUCUAAGUCCCUUGGAACAGGGCGUCAUAGAGGGUGAGAAUCCCGUAUGUGACUGGCUGCCUCCGUCCAUGUGAAGCUCUUUCGACGAGUCGAGUUGUUUGGGAAUGCAGCUCAAAAUGGGUGGUAAAUUUCAUCUAAAGCUAAAUAUUGGCCAGAGACCGAUAGCGCACAAGUAGAGUGAUCGAAAGAUGAAAAGCACUUUGGAAAGAGAGUUAAACAGUACGUGAAAUUGUUGAAAGGGAAGCGCUUGCAAUCAGACUUGCGCGCCGUUGAUCAUCCCCGGUUCUCCGGGGUGCACUCGGCGGCGCUCAGGCCAGCAUCGGUUUUGGUGGUGGGAUAAAGGCCUUGGGAAUGUAGCUCCUCUCGGGGAGUGUUAUAGCCCUCGGUGCAAUGCCGCCUACUGGGACCGAGG